rnacentral:rRNA from 1 species
GACGAACGCUGGCGGCGUGCUUAACACAUGCAAGUCGAACGGUGAAGCGCCUUCCUUUUUGGUGGGUGUGGAUGAGUGGCGAACGGGUGAGUAACACGAGAGUAACCUGCCCCCUUCUUCUGGAUAACCGCAUGAAAGUGUGGCUAAUACGGGCUAUUCUGGGUCUGUCGCAUGAUGGGUCUGGGAAAGAUAUUGUUUCGGUGGGGGCUGGGCGCGCGGCCUAUCAGCUUGGUGGUGGGGUGAUGGCCUACCAUGGCGGUGGCGGGUAGCCGGCCUGAGAGGGUGGACGGUCACACUGGGACGGGGACACGGCCCAGACUCCUACGGGAGGCAGCAGUGGGGAAUAUUGCACGAUGGGCGCAAGCCUGAUGCAGCGACGCCGCGUGAGGGAUGGAGGCCUUCGGGUUGUGAACCUCUUUCGCCAGUGAAGCAGGCCUGCCUCGUUUGUGGGUGGGUUGACGGUAGCUGGAGAAGAAGCGCCGGCUAACUACGUG